AUGCCCCUACGGGACGCAGCAGUGGGGAAUAUUGCACAAUGGGGGGAACCCUGAUGCAGCGACGCCGCGUGGGCGAUGGAGUAUUUCGGUAUGUAAAGCCCUAUCGGCAGGGAAGAAACUGACAGUACCUGACUAAGAAGCCCCGGCUAACUACGUGCCAGCAGCCGCGGUAAUACGUAGGUGGCGAGCGUUAUCCGGAAUGAUUGGGCGGAAAGGGUGCGGAGGCGGCCUGCUAAGUCUGGAGUGAAAGGUACCGGCUCAACCGGUACAGGCUCUGGAAACUGGCGGGCUAGAGAGGAGGGGAG
rnacentral:rRNA from 1 species